rnacentral:rRNA from 1 species
GAGCGGGAAAAGCUCAAAUUUAAAAUCUGGCUGCCUCCGGUGGUCCGAGUUGUAAUCUGGAGAAGCGUUUUCCGCGUCGGACCGUGUACAAGUCUUCUGGAACGGAGCGUCAUAGAGGGUGAGAAUCCCGUCUCUGACACGGACUACCGAUGCUUUUGUGAUGCGCUCUCGAAGAGUCGAGUUGUUUGGGAAUGCAGCUCAAAAUGGGAGGUAAAUUCCUUCUAAAGCUAAAUAUUGGCUAGAGACCGAUAGCGAACAAGUACCGUGAGGGAAAGAUGAAAAGCACUUUGGAAAGAGAGUUAAACAGUACGUGAAAUUGUUGAAAGGGAAACGCUUGAAGUCAGUCGCGUUGAUCGAGACUCAGCCUGGCUUGCCUGGUGUACUUCUCGGUYGACGGGUCAGCAUCAGUUUUGACCGCCGGAUAAAGGUUGGAGGAAUGUGGCAUCUCUCGGGAUGUGUUAUAGCCUCUGAUUCGCAUACGGCGAUUGGGACUGAGGAACUCAGCACGCCUUUAUGGUCGGGGUUCGCCCACGUAACGUGCAUAGGAUGCUGGCAUAAUGGCUUUAAGCGACCCGUCUUGAAACACGGACCAAGGAGUCUAACAUGCCCGCGAGUGUUUGGGUGUCAAACCCGAGCGCGUAAUGAAAGUGAAAGUUGAGAUC